GCAGUGGUGGCUUAGUGGUAGAAUUCUCUCCUUUCAUGAGAGAGACCCAGGUUCAAUUCCCAGCCAAUGCA
rnacentral:tRNA from 1 species